CUAACAUAAACAUUAUAAAACAACAUGGAUCAUGUACACAAAAGGGAUAACUAUACACAUAGGGUCAAGCACAAUACUAAUCCUCAAUAACCUCAUUACAUAACAUAACUAUCCAAUACUUUUACAUUACAUCAACAUAUAUCUCAUGUCCACAUCUAGCUAUUACAUAAACAUGGGACUUUACUCUUCUUGACUUCCUGAUCUAGCCCGUACCUGCAAACCUGGGGGUUAAGGGAGAGGGGUGAGCUACUAGAGCCCAGUGAGCAGAAUAAUAAAAACAUUAUAUUAACAUUUCAUGCCUUCAUGGAAUGCAUCACAUCACAGACAUAUCACAUCAAGGAUAAACUUGUCACCAGUAGCCGUCUACAUAUCCAAUAGUGCCAGAACGUAGAAUGGGUCCUGGUCUUUCCCUUACAUAACAUAACAUAACAUAACAUUCCAAUGUGCAGAACGUAGAAUGGGUCCUGGUCUUUCUCUUACAUAAUGCCAGCGAACGUAGAAUGGGUCCCACUGGUCUUUCCUUUUCAUACCGUACAUAUCAUAUCGUCACAUCAUAGAUCGAGGACUAUGGAUCAUCCAACGUUCAUCCACAUCAACAACAAAAUAUGCAAUGCAACAUAUUCGUGUAUUCUAAUGCAAACAACCUAGUAUAUCUCAUGGCAUUAAUGAUGCAUGAAUCAUGCUAAAAUGUCCAUUAUUUGCUUAGAAACGUAAUGAGUUAUUCCACUCACCUCUGGAUAGCUCUGACCAGACACUGGGGCAACUGACUCACUGCUGGGGUCCUCGGUUCCUCGGGUCCGAACCU
rnacentral:lncRNA from 1 species